UAGGGCUCGAGGUAGCUUCCGAUGUGAAGGAAUUUCAAGCUUUGGACACAUCUGCUUUAGACAAAUUUGUCCAACCCCACUGAAACUGAAUGAGCCUUCUUUAUCAGCUUUUGAGUAUUUUGCUGCAAUGGGCUUCUGCCUUUUUUCCGAUGAGCCGACUUCGUACUGUAAUAAUGGUAGUUUUGAGGUUGAGAAAGUUUCUUUGUAUCUCUCUUUUGAAUAGUGACCUUAAACAGCUAAGAACUUGUUCAAGCAUAUAGGCAUAUUUCCA